AACGAACGCUGGCGGCAUGCCUAACACAUGCAAGUCGAACGAGACCUUCGGGUCUAGUGGCGCACGGGUGCGUAACGCGUGGGAACCUGCCCUUAGGUUCGGAAUAACUCCCCGAAAGGGGUGCUAAUACCGGAUAAUGUCUUCGGACCAAAGAUUUAUCGCCUUUGGAUGGGCCCGCGUUGGAUUAGCUAGUUGGUAGGGUAAAAGCCUACCAAGGCGACGAUCCAUAGCUGGUCUGAGAGGAUGAUCAGCCACACUGGGACUGAGACACGGCCCAGACCCCACCGGAGGGCGGCAGGGGGAAUAUUGGACAAUGGGCGAAAGCCUGAUCCAGCAAUGCCGCGUGAGUGAUGAAGGCCUUAGGGUUGUAAAGCUCUUUUACCCGGGAUGAUAAUGACAGUACCGGGAGAAUAAGCUCCGGCUAACUCCGUG
rnacentral:rRNA from 1 species